UACGUAGGUGGCAAGCGUUAUCCGGAUUUAUUGGGCGUAAAGAGAACGCAGGCGGUCUUUUAAGUCUGAUGUGAAAGCCUUCGGCUUAACCGGAGUAGUGCAUUGGAAACUGGGAGACUUGAGUGCAGAAGAGGAGAGUGGAACUCCAUGUGCAGCGGUGAAAUGCGUAGAUAUAUGGAAGAACACCAGUGGCGAAAGCGGCUCUCUGGUCUGUAACUGACGCUGAGGUUCGAAAGCGUGGGUAGCAAACAGG
rnacentral:rRNA from 1 species